CCUACGGGUGGCAGCAGUGGGGAAUAUUGCGCAAUGGGCGAAAGCCUGACGCAGCGACGCCGCGUGAGGGAUGAAGGUCUUCGGAUCGUAAACCUCUGUCAGCAGGGAAGAAAGGUCACUGUGGUAAUCAGCAGUGAAUUGACGGUACCUGCAAAGGAAGCACCGGCUAACUCCGUGCCAGCAGCCGCGGUAAUACGGAGGGUGCGAGCGUUAAUCGGAUUUACUGGGCGUAAAGCGCGCGUAGGCGGUAUGUCAAGUCAAGGGUGAAAGCCCCGCGCUCAACGGUGGAACUGCCUUUGAAACUGGCAAACUUGAGUGUGUGAGAGGAUAGUGGAAUUCCAGGUGUAGCAGUGAAAUCCGUAGAUAUCUGGAGGAACAUCAGUGGCGAAGGCGACUAUCUGGCACAUAACUGACGCUGAGGAGCGAAAGCGUGGGUAUCAAACAGGAUUAGAUACCCCGGUAGUC
rnacentral:rRNA from 1 species